rnacentral:lncRNA from 1 species
UUAAAUUCAGGUUGUUUUUGUACCUAUUUUUAAGACCUCACCACUGGUUCCUCAGUGGAUGGUCACUCAGAUCUUUUCUUACAAUACAGGAUGUCCCCAUGUGUAAUUAGUGCACUCAACAUAAUUUUGUUUUUCUCUGGCCCUAUUUAGAAAUCAGACAUUUCCCCAGUGGCUGUGGUGUACAAUGACCUCUGGUACUGUGCUGUUGUCCAAAGGGCUCUGAAAUCAUCAGCAGACACUGUGUCCUCAUUCUGCCCAGGGCGAAAGCUGCUGCUCUCAGUAACCUGUGCUCUGCUAAACUGAUCACAGAAAUAUCCAGGAUGUGAGAGAGGGGAACAUCUUGUAUGUGACCCCUGAAGGAGCCCAUGACAGGGACAGAAGGAGAAAAGACAGGGUUUAGAGGGUGCCAUCUCCUGCCAGCCUUUGCUUGGACAUUCUUAGCUAUGCAAGACUGUGGGAGCUGGUGUUGCUGUUUUGAUAGCUCACUUCCUUCUAGCCAAGGGACUGUGUGGAUUUGAGGCUCACAGGUGGAGCUCUAGGUCACUGAGGAUGAGGAUUCUCUAGUGUCCUCCUCACACCAGGGCAGAGGAAUACAGAGCUCUUGACUGGGGUCCCAUUUCAGCCCACUGUGAGCACUCCUGCUUCCAGAUCCUGGUCUUAAAUGAACAGUGAAAAUGAACAGAUGAGUUCAAAAAGGUAACAACACCUGCUGAUUCAUUUGCUUGUCUUUCAUUUCAUCUUCCCAGGAAAUCUUGUCGGACCUCAGAUACUGAUUUCUUUUUUUUCUUUUUCUAUGCUAUGUUUUUCACAUAUCACAGACAGGAAAAUAACUAAAAACGAAUAUUGGGGAUGAAGCUUUAUGAUAAGCUGGGGUAUAAGCAAGAGACCUGACCCUGUGCUUUAGGAGAACCUGGAUAUGUGAAUAUAUGAAAGGCAGAGACAAGUGUGAGCCAAUUCUGCUGUCUCUCAGCUGGGCACACAAGUGUGAGCUCAAUACCAUGCUGAAAUGACUUUGCUCUCAGAGUGUGGGCAGACCCUGCUCUGCUCCAAAGACACAGCAGAGACUUGCUUUGUAGUCUGAGGAGAAGAUGAAAAUCUAUUAAUGUAAAUUAAACUUUUACGUUUUCCCUUUCAAGCACACAAGAAUUCAAAGAACUCCAGAAUCCAGACAGUUCUGUUUUCUUCCAGAAUAUAAUUUUUUACUCCUCUCGAUUCCUACAUCACUUUGUCAAGAAAUAACCAGGAAAAACAGAGAAGACAAAAGCAAAAAUUUCAGGAGUGAUAUACUCAUGAAAACCAUAUAGAUAAAUAUAAAUAAAGCUGGACUGCCUCACUUGAAGUCA